CGCGCGUUUCCUGUAACCAGAUUCAUUAAGAGGGGGGAUACGUGACUAGCCGGGACCAGUAACCGCUCCAGUUUCUGCGCUCCACUUGACUGCGCUCUACUCUAGUCAUCGCUCUAAGCGAUGGCCGAUAAACGAGAAGCCUCACGGUGCAUGAGCUCACUUUGCUUGUGAUUUGUUCCUGUCAUCCAUCAUACCGAUCUGCCAUGACAACAGAUGCAUCGCGGGUUGUCUUUACGACUCCCGGGCAACCUACUCCUCACCACCUCUCGGCAGACAGACAACAGGUUCAAAAGCACGAAAGCGGCUUUGUUUUAAACAAACAGAUUUAUUCGAUAUCACAGUCCACCAGG